rnacentral:rRNA from 1 species
CAGCCGCCGCGGGAAUACAGAGGAUGCAAGCGUUAUCCGGAAUGAUUGGGCGUAAAGGGCACGUAGGCGGUGAAAAGGGUGGAAAGUGAAAGUCGCCAAAACACUGGCGGGGUGCUUUCUUGACCAUUUCACUUGAGUGAGAUAGGGGAGAGUGGAAUUUCGUGUGGAGGGAUCAAAUCCUAAGAUAUACGAAGGAACGCCAACCGCGAAGGCAGCUCUCUGGGUCCCCACUGACGCUGGGGUGCGAAAGCAUGGGGAGCAAACAGGAUCAGAUACCCCGGUAGUCCCUGUCUCUUAUACA